rnacentral:rRNA from 1 species
UACAGAGGGUGCAAGCGUUGUUCGGAAUUAUUGGGCGUAAAGGGCGCGUAGGCGGUGCCACAAGUCACCUGUGAAAUCUCCGGGCUUAACUCGGAGCCUGCAGGCGAAACUGUGGUGCUGGAGUGUGGGAGAGGUGCGUGGAAUUCCCGGUGUAGCGGUGAAAUGCGUAGAUAUCGCUUGGAACGCCAAAGGUGAAAACAGGUUGCUGGGGUUGUGCCGACGCUGAGACGCGAAAGCCAGGGGAGCAAACGGG